AGAGUUUGAUCCUGGCUCAGGACGGACGCUGGCGGCGCGCCUAACACAUGCAAGUCGAACGAGCGAGAGAGAGCUUGCUUUCUCAAGCGAGUGGCGAACGGGUGAGUAACGCGUGAGGAACCUGCCUCAAAGAGGGGGACAACAGAUGGAAACGACCGCUAAUACCGCAUAAGCCCACAGCUCGGCAUCGAGCAGAGGGAAAAGGAGCAAUCCGCUUUGAGAUGGCCUCGCGUCCGAUUAGCUAGUUGGUGAGGUAAUGGCCCACCAAGGCGACGAUCGGUAGCCGGACUGAGAGGUUGAACGGCCACAUUGGGACUGAGACACGGCCCAGACUCCUACGGGAGGCAGCAGUGGGGAAUAUUGCACAAUGGGGGAAACCCUGAUGCAGCGACGCCGCGUGGAGGAAGAAGGUCUUCGGAUUGUAAACUCCUGUUGUUGAGGAAGAUAAUGACGGUACUCAACAAGGAAGUGACGGCUAACUACGUGCCAGCAGCCGCGGUAAAACGUAGGUCACAAGCGUUGUCCGGAAUUACUGGGUGUAAAGGGAGCGCAGGCGGGAAGACAAGUUGGAAGUGAAAUCUAUGGGCUCAACCCAUAAACUGCUUUCAAAACUGUUUUUCUUGAGUAGUGCAGAGGUAGGCGGAAUUCCCGGUGUAGCGGUGGAAUGCGUAGAUAUCGGGAGGAACACCAGUGGCGAAGGCGGCCUACUGGGCACCAACUGACGCUGAGGCUCGAAAGUGUGGGUAGCAAACAGGAUUAGAUACCCUGGUAGUCCACACCGUAAACGAUGAUUACUAGGUGUUGGAGGAUUGACCCCUUCAGUGCCGCAGUUAACACAAUAAGUAAUCCACCUGGGGAGUACGACCGCAAGGUUGAAACUCAAAGGAAUUGACGGGGGCCCGCACAAGCAGUGGAGUAUGUGGUUUAAUUCGACGCAACGCGAAGAACCUUACCAAGUCUUGACAUCCUGCGACGCACAUAGAAAUAUGUGUUUCCUUCGGGACGCAGAGACAGGUGGUGCAUGGUUGUCGUCAGCUCGUGUCGUGAGAUGUUGGGUUAAGUUCCGCAACGAGCGCAACCCUUACUGUCAGUUACUACGCAAGAGGACUCUGGCAGGACUGCCGUUGACAAGACGGAGGAAGGUGGGGAUGACGUCAAAUCAUCAUGCCCUUUAUGACUUGGGCUACACACGUACUACAAUGGCGUUAAACAAAGAGAAGCAAGACCGCGAGGUGGAGCAAAACUCAGAAACAACGUCCCAGUUCGGACUGCAGGCUGCAACUCGCCUGCACGAAGUCGGAAUUGCUAGUAAUCGUGGAUCAGCAUGCCACGGUGAAUACGUUCCCGGGCCUUGUACACACCGCCCGUC
rnacentral:rRNA from 1 species